rnacentral:rRNA from 1 species
CAUUACUGAGAUCAUGCCCUCACGGGUAGACCUCCCACCCUGUGUAUUAUACCUUUGUUGCUUUGGCAGGCCCGCCCCCCGGGGCACUCGGCUCCGGCUGAGCAGCGCCUGCCAGAGGACCCCAACCCUAAUGUUUACGUGUCGUCUGAGUACUAUAUAAUAAGUUAAAACUUUCAACAACGGAUCUCUUGGUUCUGGCAUCGAUGAAGAACGCAGCGAAAUGCGAUAAGUAAUGUGAAUUGCAGAAUUCAGUGAAUCAUCGAAUCUUUGAACGCACAUUGCACCCCUUGGUAUUCCGGGGGGCAUGCCUGUUCGAGCGUCAUUUCAACCCUCAAGCUUCGGCUUGGUCUUGGGCCGUGCCGGCAACGGCUGGCCUUAAAACUAGUGGCGGUGCCGUCGAGCUCUACGCGUAGUAAUUCUAUCUCGCGUCUGGGUCUCGGUGGACGCUGGCCAGCAACCCCCAAUUUUCUAUGGUUGACCUCGGAUCAGGUAGGGAUACCC